UGAGGAGUAUUGGUCAAUGGGCGAGAGCCUGAACCAGCCAAGUAGCGUGAGGGAAGACUGCCCUAUGGGUUGUAAACCUCUUUUGAUUGGGAACAAAGAGCGCCACGUGUGGUGCGUUGCGUGUACCUUUCGAAUAAGCAUCGGCUAAUUCCGUGCCAGCAGCCGCGGUAAUACGGAAGAUGCGAGCGUUAUCCGGAUUUAUUGGGUUUAAAGGGAGCGUAGGCGGACUCGUCAAGUCAGCGGUAAAAAAUUCGGGGCUCAACCCCGUCCUGCCGUUGAAACUGCGAGACUGGAGUGCGACAGAGGAAGGCGGAAUGCGAGGUGUAGCGGUGAAAUGCAUAGAUAUCGCGCAGAACUCCGAUUGCGAAGGCAGCUUUCCAUGUCGUAACUGACGCUGAGGCACGAAAGCGUGGGGAUCGAACAGGAUUAGAUACCCUGGUAGU
rnacentral:rRNA from 1 species